AUGAACGCUGGCGGCGUGCCUAAUACAUGCAAGUCGAGCGAACAGACGAGGAGCUUGCUCCUCUGACGUUAGCGGCGGACGGGUGAGUAACACGUGGAUAACCUACCUAUAAGACUGGGAUAACUUCGGGAAACCGGAGCUAAUACCGGAUAAUAUAUUGAACCGCAUGGUUCAAUAGUGAAAGACGGUUUUGCUGUCACUUAUAGAUGGAUCCGCGCGGCAUUAGCUAGUUGGUAAGGUAACGGCUUACCAAGGCGACGAUGCGUAGCCGACCUGAGAGGGUGAUCGGCCACACUGGAACUGAGACACGGUCCAGACUCCUACGGGAGGCAGCAGUAGGGAAUCUUCCGCAAUGGGCGAAAGCCUGACGGAGCAACGCCGCGUGAGUGAUGAAGGUCUUCGGAUCGUAAAACUCUGUUAUUAGGGAAGAACAAAUGUGUAAGUAACUAUGCACGUCUUGACGGUACCUAAUCAGAAAGCCACGGCUAACUACGU
rnacentral:rRNA from 1 species